AAUGAGCCUGCGAGUUGUGGUGUCUGGCAAGGUUAAGCAAACGCGAAGCCGUAGCGAAAGCGAGUCUGAAUAGGGCGCUUAGUCAGAUGCUGCAGACCCGAAACGAAGUGAUCUAUCCAUGAGCAAGUUGAAGCUAGUGUAAGAACUAGUGGAGGACUGAACCCAUAGGCGUUGAAAAGCCCCGGGAUGACUUGUGGAUAGGGGUGAAAGGCCAAUCAAACUUCGUGAUAGCUGGUUCUCUCCGAAAUAUAUUUAGGUAUAGCGUUGUGUCGUAAUAUAAGGGGGUAGAGCACUGAAUGGGCUAGGGCAUACACCAAUGUACCAAACCCUAUCAAACUCCGAAUACCUUAUAUGUAAUCACAGCAGUCAGGCGGCGAGUGAUAAAAUCCGUCGUCAAGAGGGAAACAACCCAGACUACCAGCUAAGGUCCCUAAAUCUUACUUAAGUGGAAAACGAUGUGAAGUUACUUAAACAACCAGGAGGUUGGCUUAGAAGCAGCCAUCCUUUAAAGAAAGCGUAAUAGCUCACUGGUCUAGUGAUUUUGCGCGGAAAAUAUAACGGGGCUAAAGUAAGUACCGAAGCUGUAGACUUGCGCACAACUUAGAUUAUUUAAGUUUAGAAUAUGAGAAACUAAGUUAUAUUUUUACUGAUUUUUAUAGAGUAAAGAUAGAAAUAAAACUUAGUAAAAUCAGUAAAAAUAUUCUUAGGCUAAAGUUAAGUAGUUUAAGUUGUGUGCAAGUGGUAGGAGAGCGUUCUAUUUGCGUCGAAGGUAUACCGGUAAGGAGUGCUGGAGCGAAUAGAAGUGAGCAUGCAGGCAUGAGUAGCGAUAAUUAAUGUGAGAAUCAUUAACGCCGUAAACCCAAGGUUUCCUACGCGAUGCUCGUCAUCGUAGGGUUAGUCGGGUCCUAAGUCGAGUCCGAAAGGGGUAGACGAUGGCAAAUUGGUUAAUAUUCCAAUACCAACAUUAGUGUGCGAUGGAAGGACGCUUAGGGCUAAGGGGGCUAGCGGAUGGAAGUGCUAGUCUAAGGUCGUAGGAGGUUAUACAGGCAAAUCCGUAUAACAAUACUCCGAGAACUGAAAGGCUUUUUGAAGUCUUCGGAUGGAUAGAAGAACCCCUGAUGCCGUCGAGCCAAGAAAAGUUUCUAAGUUUAGCUAAUGUUGCCCGUACCGUAAACCGACACAGGUGGGUGGGAUGAGUAUUCUAAGGCGCGUGGAAGAACUCUCUUUAAGGAACUCUGCAAAAUAGCACCGUAUCUUC
rnacentral:rRNA from 1 species